UUUGGAAAGAAAAUGCAAAGUAUGAGCACUUCCCAGGCAGCAACUGCUGAGCUGGCUGACGGUGCCCAUAAUGGAUCCUUUUCUAUUUGGGGGUAGCCACCUCCUUCCCAGACACAUGUGAACCAGAGCGCAGAGCAGCAUUUGGCAGGCUGCGCCCCUCCAGCGCUUCUGCUCCAGAGAGCUGGCUUCACUGCAUAGCAGGCUGGAUGGAGAGCAGGCGACCCUGAGGCAACGGAGGGGCUGGGUCCAGAGCCGGGGCUUUUGACUCUCGGUUCCAAGAUUGCGACUUUUUUGCAGGCAAGGAGGAAAGUAUCUUGUUGAUAGGAGUUUCCUCAGGAUCAUGUGAAAUGUUGCUAUUGUGGGAUUUUAGUUCCUGCGGCCAAACUUCCCAAGGUGGUUAAGGGUGGUGAAGGAGGGGAGAAGCAAGUAGAUCAAAUGAGAAAAAGAAAAAGAGCAGUCAUUUUAAGGGACAGAAAAGAAAAUGCUACCGAUCUUACUCAUUGAGAAAGCUCGCCAAGCCUUGUAACACCCUGUGAAAAAAUAAACACAGCCGAACAAAACAAA